rnacentral:rRNA from 1 species
UACGGAGGAUGCGAGCGUUAUCCGGAUUUAUUGGGUUUAAAGGGAGCGUAGGUGGAUUGUUAAGUCAGUUGUGAAAGCCUUCGGCUCAACCGGAGAAUUGCAUCAGAAACUGUUGAACUUGAGUGCAGAAGAGGAGAGUGGAACUCCAUGUGUAGCGGUGGAAUGCGUAGAUAUAUGGAAGAACACCAGUGGCGAAGGCGGCUUCCUGGUCUGCAACUGACACUGAGGCGCGAAAGCGUGGGGAGCAAACAGG